rnacentral:rRNA from 1 species
GACGAACGCUGGCGGCGUGCUUAACACAUGCAAGUCGAACGGAAAGGCCCUGCUUUUGUGGGGUGCUCGAGUGGCGAACGGGUGAGUAACACGUGAGUAACCUGCCCUUGACUUUGGGAUAACUUCAGGAAACUGGGGCUAAUACCGGAUAGGAGCUCCUGCUGCAUGGUGGGGGUUGGAAAGUUUCGGCGGUUGGGGAUGGACUCGCGGCUUAUCAGCUUGUUGGUGGGGUAGUGGCUUACCAAGGCUUUGACGGGUAGCCGGCCUGAGAGGGUGACCGGCCACAUUGGGACUGAGAUACGGCCCAGACUCCUACGGGAGGCGGCAGUGGGGAAUAUUGCACAAUGGGCGGAAGCCUGAUGCAGCAACGCCGCGUGCGGGAUGACGGCCUUCGGGUUGUAAACCGCUUUCGCCUGUGACGAAGCGUGAGUGACGGUAAUGGGUAAAGAAGCACCGGCUAACUACGUGCCAGCAGCCGCGGUGAUACGUAGGGUGCGAGCGUUGUCCGGAUUUAUUGGGCGUAAAGGGCUCGUAGGUGGUUGAUCGCGUCGGAAGUGUAAUCUUGGGGCUUAACCCUGAGCGUGCUUUCGAUACGGGUUGACUUGAGGAAGGUAGGGGAGAAUGGAAUUCCUGGUGGAGCGGUGGAAUGCGCAGAUAUCAGGAGGAACACCAGUGGCGAAGGCGGUUCUCUGGGCCUUUCCUGACGCUGAGGAGCGAAAGCGUGGGGAGCGAACAGGCUUAGAUACCCUGGUAGUCCACGCUGUAAACGGUGGGUACUAGGUGUGGGGUCCAUUCCACGGGUUCCGUGCCGUAGCUAACGCUUUAAGUACCCCGCCUGGGGAGUACGGCCGCAAGGCUAAAACUCAAAGGAAUUGACGGGGCCCCGCACAAGCGGCGGAGCAUGCGGAUUAAUUCGAUGCAACGCGUAGAACCUUACCUGGGUUUGACAUGGAUCGGGAGUGCUCAGAGAUGGGUGUGCCUCUUUUGGGGUCGGUUCACAGGUGGUGCAUGGCUGUCGUCAGCUCGUGUCGUGAGAUGUUGGGUUAAGUCCCGCAACGAGCGCAACCCUUGUUCACUGUUGCCAGCACGUUAUGGUGGGGACUCAGUGGAGACCGCCGGGGUCAACUCGGAGGAAGGUGGGGAUGACGUCAAGUCAUCAUGCCCCUUAUGUCCAGGGCUUCACGCAUGCUACAAUGGCUGGUACAGAGAGUGGCGAGCCUGUGAGGGUGAGCGAAUCUCGGAAAGCCGGUCUCAGUUCGGAUUGGGGUCUGCAACUCGACCUCAUGAAGUCGGAGUCGCUAGUAAUCGCAGAUCAGCAACGCUGCGGUGAAAACGUUCCCGGG